rnacentral:lncRNA from 1 species
CCCGUUCAUCCACCUCCGGCCGAACCUAUUUCGGCCCGGAUUGACCCCGGCCGGCCACCGUCGGCCGGCCAAAAUUCACCAAAUCUUCCCCGAAACAGGGGAAGGUAAAACCGAAUGGCUCCCCAUCUUUUCUCUCCCCUUAAAUCCAUAAAACAAAUAGAUAGGUUGUUUUCCUCACCUCCGGUCGUCGACGAGUGGGUUCCCGGCGGUGAU